CGAUAGAACCGCCUGGUUCAAUCGGGAAAGAUGGCUUCGGCUAUCACUGAAGGAUGGUCCCGCGCUGCAUUAGCUAGUUGGUAAGGUAACGGCUUACCAAGGCGAUGAUGCAUAGCCGACCUGAGAGGGUGAUCGGCCACAUUGGGACUGAGACACGGCCCAAACUCCUACGGGAGGCAGCAGUAGGGAAUCUUCCGCAAUGGACGCAAGUCUGACGGAGCAACGCCGCGUGUGUGAAGAAGGUUUUCGGAUCGUAAAGCACUGUUAUUAGAGAAGAACAGCCGAUAGAGUAACUGUUAUCGGUUUGACGGUAUCUAACCAGAAAGUGACGGCUAACUACGUGCCAGCAGCCGCGGUAAUACGUAGGUCACAAGCGUUGUCCGGAUUUAUUGGGCGUAAAGGGAGCGCAGGCGGUUUGUUAAGUCUGAUGUGAAAGCCCACGGCUCAACCGUGGAACGGCAUUGGAAACUGGCAAACUUGAGUAUAGAAGAGGAAAGUGGAAUUCCAUGUGUAGCGGUGAAAUGCGUAGAUAUAUGGAGGAACACCAGUGGCGAAGGCGACUUUCUGGUCUAUAACUGACGCUGAGGCUCGAAAGCGUGGGGAGCGAACAGGAUUAGAUACCCUGGUAGUCCACGCCGUAAACGAUGAGUGUUAAGUGUUGGGGGGCU
rnacentral:rRNA from 1 species